UGGCUCAGUGGUUAAGAGCACUGGCUGCCCUUCCAGGGGAUCUGGGUUCAAUUCCCAG
rnacentral:tRNA from 1 species